CCAGCUCGUCUUCCUCUUGUGAUUACAGCUUCCAACCACUUUGUUGCUUCACAUUUACUUCAGCCAGCUCCCUCCCACGUGGCAUCACAGGACAUGUUGCUGUGGCCAAGAAGGGUCAACAUUGGAGCUUACAGCAAAGAGUUUGCCUUGAGCUCAGAGGAAACUAUUUUUUUUGCUUUUGCUUUUCACAACUUUAUGUCAACAUAACUAUACUUACAGAAAUAUACUCAUAUUGGUUAAAAGAAUGCAAUUUAACUUAUCCUACACAUUUUCAACCAAAAGACAUUAAGAUAAAAGAUUUACAGACAAGUUCAACUAGUGCUGAGAAGUUGCCAGUCAUGGCCCUAAACCUGUGGUCACUUUGGAUUCCAGUAGAGCUUCCAUAGGACUGAGACUGCCCCAAACAGAAAUAUUCUCAUGGAGAAUGAAUUGCCCAUCAAGCAAUAAUGACUUCCUCUGCAGCCAUCCAGCAAAAUGGGAACUGAGGUCACCAGGAGGUGUACAGAAGAGGACUGAGGACAAAGACUCACCCAAGAUGGCCUUUUUGGUCCAUCUUAGUUAUCUGA